UACGUAGGCAGCAAGCGUUGUUCGGAGUUACUGGGCGUAAAGGGUGCGUAGGCGGCUUUUUAAGUUUGGUGUGAAAUCUCCCGGCUCAACCGGGAGGGUGCGCCGAAUACUGAGAGGCUAGAGUGCGGGAGAGGAAAGUGGAAUUCCUGGUGUAGCGGUGAAAUGCGUAGAUAUCAGGAGGAACACCGGUGGUGUAAACGGCUUUCUGGACCGUAACUGACGCUGAGGCACGAAAGCGUGGGUAGCAAACAGG
rnacentral:rRNA from 1 species